AUCGGACUCGGCGAUUGAUGUUUUUUUUUUCAGCUUUCCACUGCCCGCUCAGUUUGUGCAGAGACAGACUUCUCAUCCAACCUUCUGCAUCAGAGCUGCUCUAUUUCUCAGGGUGCUUAUCCAGCAAUUAUUGGACUGGAGCGGACUGCAGAAACAUAUAGAUCUGCUACUGAACAGCUAGAGACAGAGGAUGUGACAGAAGUACAGGGGAUUAAGUUCAGACUCAGCGGCUUCAACUUCAGGCGCGGCAUCCUCUUCCUCACCGUCCAUUCAGUCUUCACCAUCGUCUACUGCUACCUCAUCACCUUCACCAAGCUGCAGCCCAUUUUUGCCAACCUGGGUAGACAGUUUUCAGAUACCUUGGCAGAAGCUCCCAGAAGAGUUAAUGCAGACUUUGGAAAGACAGAAAAGGCCAAGUCCACAACUACGAAGAGAAAUGGUGUUUCUUUUCAAUAAAUCCAGAGAGACGAACAAAAGUCGAGCACAGCAAGAAGAGGAAGGUCUUUGCUGUCAACCCAAGAGUCCUCACACUCAUCGCAGACCUUGCAGACCAUGGGUAGACUUAGACCAUACUUCGUGAGUCAUGUGAUGUGAGGUGUAAUGUUGUUGUAAUGUUGCAGUAUGUUAAACACUGCAUUUUAUUGGUAUUCUGAGUGUACACAGUGUAAGAUGUGAUCCUUUUUCAUC